AAUGAUAUAAAUUUAAUGGCUGCAGUAUUUUAACUGCACAAAGGUAGCAUAAUCAUUUGUCUAGUAAUUUUAGACUAGUAUGAAAGGUUUGAUGAGAAUUAUUCUUUCUUAUUUAUAUUAAUAAGAAAUUGUUUUUUAGAUUAAAAAAUUUAAAUUUAUUUAAAGGACGAGAAGACCCUAUAGAACUUUAUUAUUAUAUAUAAUUUUAUAUUAUUAUAUACAAUAAUUGUAUUGGGGUGAUAUAUAUUUUUUAUUAACAAUUUUUUAUUUUUCAUUGAUGUUUGAUUUUUAGAUCCAAUUUUUUGAUUUUAAGUUUAAGUUACCUUAGGGAUAACAGCGUAAUUUAAU
rnacentral:rRNA from 1 species